ACCCAAACAAAUUUCUUCAAGUCCUUAAUAGAAUCACCCUCUGUGAUUCUUUUCCUCUUUCCAUCCUUCUUCUUUGUUUCAACCAUUCUAUACAAAACAUAAAAACAACACAUACCCAAACAAUCAAUAACCUAUUCCGUUAGAAACAUAGCGUAUAUAUAUGAUCAUAUUGACAAUUAAUUAGUAGAAUGAGAAUUAACAGAAAUUAGAAGCAGACCUUAGAGAGAGAAACCAGAAUCCUUUCAGUUGUGAGAGAGUUGGAGAGAGAAAGUCACGUAUUCGACUGUCAGAGUUAGAGAGAGAAAGUCACGUAUUAGCCUGAAAGUCGCGUAUUCAAUUUUCUGUCAGAGUUGAUAUACUAUGGUGUUGCGGCGGCGGCGACGGAAGAGGACGACAACGAGUGGCUUCGAGAGGAGAAAGAGAAGUAGUAAGGGAGAAGAGAGAGAAAUAGUAAAAGGAGAGAGAGAGACCGAAGGAAGAUGUAAACUAAUUUGCUAUGUCAGCCCAUUAAUAUUAAUC
rnacentral:lncRNA from 1 species